UUGGAAGGAAGGAUCGAUCAUGAAAAUUAAUUCCCAUUAAAAUUAUGACAAGAGUUAUAUUACAGCAAUUUGAUUAGUUUCAAAUAUUGAUAAUGGCUUUUAUAGAAAACUCAAAAUGUUGAUUUGUUAUUGAAAACUCAUUUUUUCCGUGCUCAAGCUUCGUCUAGAAAGAGAGCUAAUAAAGUGGAGGCGCUUCAUGAUGGGGCGUGCAUUUGGAUUUCUGAUAUGACAGGGUUGAGUAAUUUGAUUGCUGGGUCAAUAGGGCAGUGUUUCAAAUGCAUCCGGAUAAGUCUCCAGGACCAGAUGGUAUGAAUCCAACGUUUUUUCAAAAGUUUUGGCAUCUUAUUUGCGAUGAUGUGGCCAAUUCUAUUACUUAGUUGAAUAGAGGUGAGUUUCCUAAUUCCUAAAUGAUACUAUUAUUGUGCUAAUUCCCAAAUGUGAGCCUCCGACCACUCUUAAGGAUUUAAGGCUCAUUUCUUUAUGUAAUAUUUUGUAUAAGAUUAUCUCUAAGGUGUUGGCCAAUAGAUUGAAAGUUCUUCUUCCUUCUAUUAUCUCUCCUACUUAGUCUGCUUUUGUGCUAGGGAGAUUAAUAACAGAAAAAGUAAUGGUUGUUUUUGAGGUUAUGCAUCAUAUGAAAAGGAAGACGAGAGGUCGAAAAGGUGAAGUGGUACUGAAAAUUGACAUUAGUAAAGUAUAUGCCAGAGUAGAUUGGAACUACCUUGGUUAUGUGCUAUUGAAAUUGGGUUUUGAUGCUAAGUGGGUUAAGUUAGUUAUGUCGUGUGUGACUUCUGUGAAGUAUUCAGUUUUGCUGAAUGGUAAUGAAAUUGAUCUUAUCUUUCCUAAGAGGGGAUUGAGACAAGGGGAUUCUCUCUCCCAUAUCUUUUUAUUUUGUGUGCUAAAGGAUUAACGAGUUUGCUUCAAAUAGUGGAGGUUAGGGUCAAUAUUCAUGGGAGCAAGAUUUUUAGGGGCAACCCUAGUAUAACUCAUUUGUUGUUUGUAGAUGAUGGUUUCUUUUUUGUUCGAGCCAAUAGUAGGGAGAAUGCCUUAGGUCAGGCUAUAAAUUUUCAGAAGUCGGGUGUAUUUUUUAGUGCUAAUGUUUCUUAAGAUCAGAGACAGGAGGUGUAUAGUAUUCUGGUGUAUCUAAUCUCUUGAUCAUGGGAUAUACUUGGGUUUAUCUUCUUUGGUUGUUAAAAGUAAGAAACAGGAUUUUGGGUUCUUGGGAGAUAGGUUAUGGAAGCGUUUACAAGGAUGGAAGGGGAAGAUCCUUUCUCGGGCAGGAAAGGAAAUUUUAUUGAAGGCAGUUGCUUAAGCAAUUCCCGCAUAUUGUAUGAAUGUGUUUCAUAUUCCUGUGUCUCUUUGCGAAGAGUUACAGAAUAUGAUAAAUUCUUUUUUGUAGGGUUCAAAGCAGAACGGGUAGCGUAAUAUCCAUUGGUUUUCUUGUGAUAGGCUAUGUGUUCAUAAGGUGGAUGGUUCAAAUCCUAACACUCUCCUUACUAGGGUCUACAAAGCUAAAUAUUUCCCUAGAGUUGAUUUUCUAAAUGCUAAAAAGGGCUGUAAUCCCAGUUAUAUAUGGAAGAGUGUUCUGCUUGCUCAAGAGUUGCUUAGAAGGUGUAUUUAAUUGAGCGCUGGAAAUGAUAGGAGUAUAAGGGUUUGGGAUGAUCCUUGAAUUCCAAAUAAUGCUAAUUUCUUAGUAGAAUCUCUUAGGAUUUAUGGUAGGGAAGAUCUUCGUGUUCAUGAGUUAAUUGUUACUUCUAGCCAUUGUUGGGAUAUUCCUAAAUUACAUGCUUUUUUAUUACCUUCGGAUGUGAAUAAAAAUUGUUAAUAUUCCUUUGAGCAUUAGAGGUUCUAUGGACAAACGUAUGUGGCAUUUUUCUAAAGAUGGUAUUCAUUCAGUAAAGAUAGGAUAUCAUUUGUCCUACUAUACUGAUAUGAUACCUAUUUCUAAUGGUUUUGUUGGGCAUUGGAAGGUGGUGUGGAAAUUAGAUGUUCCACCAAAGAUAAAAAAUUUUCUUUAGUGGGCUAUGAGGGAAAUUCUUCUUACUAAGCAGUGUUUGUCUAGAAAGGGCAUUGAAGUGUCGGGUGGGUGUUUAAUUUGGAAGGACUUUGAGGAUCUUCUGCAUGUGUUUGUCAAUUGUUCUAAACUCAUGAUUGUUGGAACAUUUAUAUUGUUUUUGAUCAUUCUAUUUCCAACUUCACUGAAUUUUUUUCUAAUAUUCUUGAGUCUCAUGAUGAUGAUACAGUAACAUUUGUAAGUGCUGUCUUGUGGAACUUAUGGAAUAGUAGAAAUGUUUUGUUAUGGAAUGUUAAGGAUCGAUCGCCUGAGGGGAUUGUAUCUUUAGCUCAUAGUUUCCUAGUGCAAUGGCGGGCAGUGCAUGGUGCUCUAACCUUGCAGUCCUCUUGUGGCAAUGAUGAUGAAGGGGUGCUGUGUUGGGAGAAGCUGAGAAUGGGUGGAGUAAAAUGCAAUAUUGAUGCCGCUGUUUUAAGGCAAGAAGGUAAAACAUCUUAUGGGGCAAGUUUAAGGGAUGAGAAUGGAUCUUUUGUUGCAAGUUACUCUAGUUUCUUCUUGGAUUGUUGUUGACCUAGGGAGACAGAAGUAAUCGGGCUGCGUGAAGUUCUUUCUUAGUUGAUAUCCCAUUGUUGUAAUGAAGUUAAUUUAGAGACUGAUGCAAAGGAAGUUUUUAUGCUUUAAAUUGUCAUGGGUCUAAUCUCAGAGUUUGGUCAAAUUAUUGAGGAUGUCAGUUUAUUUUGAGACAAAUUCAGAAUAUGUCUCUUAUAGGUACUUCCAGAGACAAGAUAAUAAGGUUGCUCAUUCUCUUGUUAGGGUGGCUCUAUUUCAUGCUAGUCCAAAUAUUUGGGAGGAGUGUCAGAGCUCUUUAAUUUCUGCUCUUGUAUCUGAUGUUUCUCCAGGUUGUAGUGGGGCGGCCUAAAUUUAGCUUUGGAUCUUCUAUGCUAAG
rnacentral:misc_RNA from 1 species